rnacentral:rRNA from 1 species
AGUUUGAUCCUGGCUCAGGAUGAACGCUAGCGAUAGGCCUAACACAUGCAAGUCGAGGGGCAGCAUAUAGCAGCAAUGCUGUGAUGGCGACCGGCGGAUGGGUGAGUAACACGUAUGCAACCUACCUUUAACACGGGCAUAACUCGAAGAAAUUCGUGCUAAUUCCCGAUAAUACAGGGGCGCCGCAUGGCGAUAUUUGUUAAAGAUUAAUCGGUUAAAGAUGGGCAUGCGUUCCAUUAGCUAGUUGGUGAGGUAACUGCUCACCAAGGCAACGAUGGAUAGGGGGACUGAGAGGUUUAUCCCCCACACUGGUACUGAGACACGGACCAGACUCCUACGGGAGGCAGCAGUGAGGAAUAUUGGUCAAUGAGCGAAAGCUUGAACCAGCCAAGUCGCGUGAAGGAUGAAUGUUCUAAGAAUUGUAAACUUCUUUUAUAUAGGAAUAAAGUGAGCCACGUGUGAGUUUUUGCAUGUAC